rnacentral:rRNA from 1 species
AGAGUUUGAUCCUGGCUCAGGAUGAACGCUAGCGGCAGGCUUAGCACAUGCAAGUCGAGGGGCAGCAUGGCCUAGCAAUAGGCUGAUGGCGACCGGCAAACGGGUGCGGAACACGUACAGAAUCUGCCUUUGUCUGGGGGAUAGCCCGAAGAAAUUCGGAUUAACACCCCAUAGUAUACGUAAGUGGCAUCACUUGUGUAUUAAAACUCCGGUGGACAAAGAUGACUGUGCGUCCCAUUAGCUAGUUGGCAGGGUAAAGGCCUACCAAGGCGACGAUGGGUAGCUGGUGUGAGAGCACGACCAGCCACACGGGCACUGAGACACGGGCCCGACUCCUACGGGAGGCAGCAGUGAGGAAUAUUGGUCAAUGGACGCAAGUCUGAACCAGCCAUGCCGCGUGAAGGAUGACGGCCUUCUGGGUUGUAAACUUCUUUUAUCUGGGAAGAAACCUACGAUUUCUAUUGUAGCCGACGGUACCAGAGGAAUAAGCACCGGCUAACUCCGUGCCAGCAGCCGCGGUAAUACGGAGGGUGCAAGCGUUAUCCGGAUUCACUGGGUUUAAAGGGUGUGUAGGCGGACUAUUAAGUCAGUGGUGAAAUCUCCGGGCUCAACCCGGAAACUGCCGUUGAUACUAUUAGUCUUGAAUUCUGUUGAGGUAGGCGGAAUACAUCAUGUAGCGGUGAAAUGCUUAGAUAUGAUGUAGAACACCGAUUGCGAAGGCAGCUUACUAAACAGCUAUUGACGCUGANGCACGAAAGCGUGGGGAUCAAACAGGAUUAGAUACCCUGGUAGUCCACGCCCUAAACGAUGAUUACUCGACAUACGCGAUAUUACUGUGUGUGUCUGAGCGAAAGCAUUAAGUAAUCCACCUGGGAAGUACGUCCGCAAGGAUGAAACUCAAAUGAAUU